UUUCUAUGCAGACGAUCUGACUACGUUUCCUUGUAGAGCUGUCGGUUAACCGCGACACGCCCAACGUUGUUGGGUACCUGUAUAUAAGGCGACACCGACAGGUGGACAACACCGUUACGGGGCUGGCGACUUUGACCACUUGCUUGGUCCGGCCAGCCUUGUUAUCAGAAACCAGCUUGCCACGAUCUGAUGAGUGUUUCUUGUUUAGCAGCAUGACGGGAGAAAAUCAAAGAUGAUAGCGGCUCUGCUAUUUCAAUACCGGCGAGACUCGGAUACGACUCACGUCAAGGACUCAAGACAGCGUCAGCUGCACCCAACACCGACUUCGUCACCCACGACAAUGAACUACGACUGCGACAUGUAUAAGCAAGGGCCCGUCUACAACCACGACAGCCAGGGCAAAGUCAUCUCAGCAAUAAGAAGAUUGAUUCACUGAUCACAGUUCAAAGGCUACAGGUCACAAGUCACGGUUGAAGACUUACCAGCCUGGGUGACUUCAUGUUUCGGAAGAUAAAGGACAAUGAAUAAUGCAUCAUUUGUAGCGGAUAAACGAUUUAGUAAACUGCCUUUAAGGCUAAGUUUCA